GCGACGAAGAGGAUGCUGAUGGAGUGACGAAGAGGAUGCUGAUGGAGCGACGAAGAGGAUGCUGACGGAGAGACGGGAAGCAUGCUGAUGGAAAACAAGAUGAGAUUUUUAAGAAAUCUUGGAUUUUGAGAGAGCAUAUAUACUCUGUUGAAUUCGGCGUAUUCUUACUAAGUCAGAGAGUUCCCUCGCUCUCUGACUUAGAAAACGAAUUUUGUGGUAAAGUAUUUCAAAGUAGGCUCCUGCCACCUAUUUUGGAAUAAUGUUGUACAAAUUUCUAUUAAGUAAUGAUUUUAGAAUAAUAAUGUUGUUUGAAAAGCAUUUAUGCCGUGAUGAAUAAAUAACAUCCAUCGGUAGUUUUGAAACGACUGUCAGCUUAAAAUAUGCAUAUGUAUUUAAAUUAAACAUGGUCACCAUGCCAGCAAGUGUCAGCGUUUGAUAAAUGUAUUUCGAAAUACGCUUUUCAAUGCAAUAUGGAAAUUUGCCAUCAUAACGUGCACAAAAUCACUGUUUCGUAAUAAUAUAUACGCAAUUUUAACAAAUAUUUAAUGUUUGGGGCUGUUUUCAUUCAACCGUAGCUAUAGUGUGUUUUCUUUUGACGUCAUAUAAGCCAUGUUGGGAGAGUACAUGAGAGUGUCGAAGCUCAGCAAAGCAUAAAAUUAGCAGAAAUUCUUUUCACUGUAUGGAAUUUUGCCCCAACAUGGUAACUGAUGAAAACAAUUUAGAGGAAGAAAUCAUUAAGGUGUAAAAUGAUUUUUUCAUCAGCUGGCAAUCCAUUUGGGACUUUUCACAGUAUUUUUAAUUCACGAAAAUUUACAUAAAACGUACAAAAUGACAUACCUCGCAACAAGUAUAAAACAUGUGAAAAUUGAUCAUCAAAUUUACUGGCAUUUCCCCAGUAUAGUAGCGGCAUCUUCUUUCAUGUUUAGAGAUUAUUUUACACCUCAAUGUUUUCUACUCUCAUGUCCUUAGACCCAAAAAAAAAAAAUUUACAUCUGUAAUGUAAUGUAUGAUAAACUUAAGAAUAAAUUUAAGAGAAAGGAACUUCUCAAACGACUUCAAGUAAUAUGUAAAUUUUAGCAAGUAAAAAUGUUCGUACAAUAAAUUAUAAAAAACAAUCUCCAAACAUUGUUUAAGAUUUUUAGACAUUAAGCUGGCUUGAAGACCACUGUUUUUUGCAAAAAAUUCGGCAAUUUCGAAGUGAUGUAUUUCGCCUCCGUACUUUCAAUGGCGGCGCUCAUGCAGGCUUCAAAGAUGGCGUCCAAGUUAGCCUUCCAGUUGUUGUAGAGUUCACUGGGUUUAAAUAAGGUCGAGAUAGAUAGUUCACUAUACCACGACGAAAAAUUGCAUGUAAUUUACAAACUCUUGGCGUCACGUUCAUUUGCUAUAAUAAAAUUUACAAUAAAUAUUUUUUUAUUAUUGAUUGAACUAUGGACGAAUAAGAAAAUUCUUAUCUAGAAAUGACAUGAAUGAAAGGCAAAAGUAAAUAAAAAAUGUGACUAUUUUUGACCAAUGACAUUAGGAUGUUGAUAGUGGUUACAAUGGAUGAUAGUGGAUAAUUAUAGACAUGCUUUCAAAAUGGCGUAUGCUGAACAAGUGGUAUGUUUCGCUGCCGUAAAAUGGCAUAUACAACCACAAAUACAACCAUCCGACUGGUGCAGCUUAAAAAAAAAAUUUCAGGGCUUCCAUUUACUACAUGUUUCAAAGUUCAUGUAUGAGAACAAUAUUUCUUCAUUUAUUCAUAUUUUUUAGGAGUUUGCAACAUCAAAAGUUCGAAGCAAGGCAAUCGAUCAACAGGGCUCAGUCACUCAGUACUAUGCUUAGUACUUUUUUAAAUAUCUAUCGGAGAAGUCUGGCUGGGAGAAUGGUACUUAGAAUAAUUCUAGGCUAACUUUGUCAAUCCAAGAACACGGGCAGUACUGGUUUUUAUAAAUCGGGGUAUUAUUUUUUGGGUACACUUGCAAAAUGUAUCAAUUCAGGAAGAAAUUCAGAUGCUCAAAUGACUUCUUUUACAAUAACGUGGAGAGGAAAGGAAACACACAAAAAGAUGAUGCGAAUAGCAGUGUGUCAUAUGAAUCUCAAUUUUUUGAACAAGAGAAUGAAUUUGGGGAUUUGAAUGAACAAAGUGAAGAUAUUGCUGAAAAUUAUGACAAGCACCAAGAGUUAACCACCAAAACACAGGACUCGGAAGAUAUCUUUACCAAGCAAUCUAUCUCUAUUAUUACAGAGGAAGCCAAACAACCAUGUCAACUUAGUCAAAGUCAUUUGUCACCCACUGGUCACUAUACUGGGCUAUUGUUACAGUUUGACUUUGCAUCAAAUAUAUCACGUCAGCAAUCCUUUGUUGUUCAUGAUUAUAAUGCAAACAAAAGAACAAUUAUGCAUAAUUUAUUUGUAUUUGUACAUCGAUAUCCCCACCUAUUGCUUGAUGGCUAUGGUUGGAUAUUGUGCUGCUCAUGUGAUGCAAAUAGAAAGCAAUUUGUUGAAGCCCUACCUAAUAAUAUACAAUUAGAUCCUCAAAAAGAUAUACCAUAUCCCAGUUGCAUACACAUAUUAGCAAUGGAAAAAUAUCUGGUUGUGUAUGAUAGAAAGUUUGGCAUUGAAGCCAAAGAUUUUAUUGAAAAAAAAUCCACAUCCAUGAUUCAGUCUGUUUUCAGUGAUCAUUUGUACCAUGAGAUGCAACCUGAAGAAGACUUGUUUAGUGCAGUGUGCAGGGAGGUUCAGCGGAUUUCUGUAAAACCAGUGAAUAGUCCAUGGGGGGUUUGUACUUUUGUGUAUUCAAAAGUAACGCUGCCCAGCCCGAGUUAAAAUGUUGCAGCUGUUCGUCAUAUCAUUGCAUUCAUGUGACAACCCUUGCAAAAGCCAUGCAAAUCGUUGAAGAGGAUGAAAUGGAUUCUCCAUUGGCACUUUUUAAGUUUUCCUUUGGAAUUACACCAGAGAUGCGAGACUAUUUUGAAUUGGCUACACUUAGCAAAGAAAAGGUUUCUUUAUUUGAAACAGGCAAUGAGAAUGAUGCAAGCGAUUUUACUGAUCUUCCUGAAAAAAAUGGUCAUAAUUUUGGCGCCAUCUGAAAGUGGUAUUUGUUCUUGUGGUGCAGAGUGGGAUAAACGUUCUAUUCAAGAUGAAUGGUUGUACGUAGACGUGUGUUCAGUUGAAUACUUUUAUUCAAUCCAUGAUGUGAAGGUGUAUUGUAGACCUUGCUCCUCUUGUGCUAUGAAAAAGCAUUAUGAUGGCAUUGAAAACAGGAUUGUAUGGUUUGGAUCAUAUGCAGGUCAAGGACGGUCAGUGGCGUUUGCCAGUGUCUCAAAAUUCGUCCCAUGGAUAUUCACCUUGUCUGCCAGAACUGAUUCAACGAGGGAAUUAUGUUCUUGACAAUAGGAAGACACAGCAGGGAGAUUGUGCCAAAGUCACUAGACCCAAGAAGAAGCAUGGCACUUUGAUCCCCGGAAUAUUUUGUAUUCUUUGUCCCCACGGUAUACGUUAUGGAUUCGAAAUAAUGAGGGAUCACGAAUCACCAAAUAUCCCAUUUACCAUUUUACGAACACGUUUUCCUGAUGCGCCAGAGUUGGUCAUUUACGAUAAUGCCUGCAGAUUGCACGAGUAUUGUUUGAACCGAGAUGCAGCAUAUAACAUGAAAUUGUACCCCAUGCUCAAUAUGUACAAUAGCCAAGCUGCUGAACAGUGCAAUUCGUGUAUUAAGCCUCUUGCCUCCAUGGUUUCUUACAUGGAAUACGAUAACUUUUUUCUUUUUACAAAACUUCAUAUUUGGCACAGGAAUAUGUUACGCAUUGUUAAAUACAAUCCUGAGAGAGAAAUAGCCUACAAACACUAUUUUCUCACUCUUAGUCGCGUUAUUCAUUAGUAACGCGUUAUAGUUUCGUUUUUCGAAAAAUUUAAACUUGUUUUUAUAAAUAGUUUUAUCUAUACAAAAUGUUACUUCAUAGUUACCCAUAUAGUUUCCACAAAAGUAACAAUUAUAUGUAACGUCGUUACUUGUAAAAAAAUUAUUUACAUCACUUGUUAUAAAUAUAAGAAUGUUAUUCAUAUG